CAGUAGCCGCGGUAAUACGUAGGGGGCAAGCGUUAUCCGGAAUUACUGGGUGUAAAGGGAGCGUAGACGGUUAAACAAGUCUGAAGUGAAAUGCCGGGGCUCAACCCCGGAGCUGCUUUGGGAACUGUAGAACUGGAGUGUCGGAGGGGUAAGCGGAAUUCCCAGUGUAGCGGUGAAAUGCGUAGAUAUUGGGAGGAACACCGGCGGCGAAGGCGGCUUACUGGACGACAACUGACGUUGAGGCUCGAAGGCGUGGGUAGCAAACAGGAUUAGAUACCCCAGUAGUCCCUGUCUCUUAUAC
rnacentral:rRNA from 1 species